rnacentral:lncRNA from 1 species
GCAACUGGUUCACUCAAGGCUGGAAAUGAUUAGAAAUUCUAGAAGAUGGAGUCUAGUCUACACACAAUUCAAACUAAGGACCCCUCACCCCUGGCCCUUGGGUUUAGAGUUCCAUAGCUCCAAGAGGGGCCACUUUCAUCAUGGAAUAUCUCUCCUGAGCACUACAGCCCUGAUCUUUCAAAGCUGCAAUAGAUCAGAAAUUCUAGAAGGCGAAGAGGUCAAUAUAUGCAGCCAACAGUUCGCUAUCACUACUUUAGACUGUGAUCCCUCUAAAUGCAGGAAUCCUACCUGACCAGCAUGAUGUUUAACCCUGAAAGUUACCCUGAAACUAUAUGCUGAACGAAUAGAUAGGUGAACAAAUAUGAGAAUGCAUGGAGAAUCAAGAAACAGAAAAAUUGAUGGGAAUACUAAAAGCAAGCACUGUAGUGGAAAACAAAGAAGUGAUAAAAAGAAUAAAGUAAAAUAAAAAACCAGGAUUUCACAAGAAGAGAAUCAUUACAGCCUAGAAGACAAUGUGGGUGAUUUAAUCACAAAUAGUUUUAAGAAACAUGAGAAAAAGGGUCUGCAGGCAACUUGAAAUAGACUCUUAAGUACCUGACAAACCUGAGAAAAAUAGGUAGGGAAGAAAUCAGUGCAUUGAAACCCCACACAGCUUCAAUGUACCAUCCCUUUUCAAUCACUUGGAAGGAAAAUGAUGUGUUUAGUACGUCCUCCUUCUUCAUGUUUGUGUCUUUAAAUAGGGUAUUUGGAUUCACAGACUGUAGCCUCCUCAGAUUGUCUCUCCUCCCAGCACACUGCCGUGCUUUUUAAAUGACACCAGCCUUCCAAGCAAGAUUGAUUGUAAACUUGAAAAGGUUAUAUGUGAUGUAAUGAAUAACACAUGCUACCCCCUCGAGCGCAUCUCCAGAAGGGCACAUACCUAGGAUCCUGUGUGUUCUUAUCAUUCAGAAAAGACUGGAAGGGACUCUUGUUGGGCAAGCUGACAGAAAUCUUCCUAUUAUGCUCACUAAAUAAAUUGCCUUAUCUUUAGUUAAUUCACUCCAUGAAUACACAGUUAUUAACAACCAACCAUUUUUUA